rnacentral:rRNA from 1 species
GACGAACGCUGGCGGCGUGCUUAACACAUGCAAGUCGAACGGAAAGGCCCUGCUUUUGUGGGGUGCUCGAGUGGCGAACGGGUGAGUAACACGUGAGUAACCUGCCCUUGACUUUGGGAUAACUUCAGGAAACUGGGGCUAAUACCGGAUAGGAGCUCCUGCUGCAUGGUGGGGGUUGGAAAGUUUCGGCGGUUGGGGAUGGACUCGCGGCUUAUCAGCUUGUUGGUGGGGUAGUGGCUUACCAAGGCUUUGACGGGUAGCCGGCCUGAGAGGGUGACCGGCAUCAGUGGGACUGAGAUACGGGCCAGACUCCUACGGCAGGCAGCAGGGGGGUAUAUUGCACAAUGGGCGGAAGCCAGAUGCAGCAACGCCGCGUGCGGGAUGACGGCCUUCGGGUUGUAAACCGCUUUCGCCUGUGACGAAGCGUGAGUGACGGUAAUGGGUAAAGAAGCACCGGCUAACUACGUG